CCGACACGACCGUACCGCAAACCGACACUGGUGCGCGAGAUGAGUAUUCUAAGGCGCUUGAGAGAACUCAGGAGAAGGAACUCGGCAAAUUGACACCGUAACUUCGGAAGAAGGUGUGCCUUUAGUAGGUGAAGGGAUUUACUCCCAGAGCCCAAUGAGGUUGCAAAAAAUCGGUGGCUGCGACUGUUUAAUAAAAACACAGCACUCUGCAAACACGAAAGUGGACGUAUAGGGUGUGACGCCUGCCCGGUGCUGGAAGAUUAAAUGAUGGGGUGCAAGCUCUUGAUUGAAGUCCCAGUAAACGGCGGCCGUAACGAUAACGGUCCUAAGGUAGCGAAAUUCCUUGUCGGGUAAGUUCCGACCUGCACGAAUGGCGUAACGAUGGCCACACUGUCUCCUCCUGAGACUCAGCGAAGUUGAAAUGUUUGUGAUGAUGCAAUCUCCCCGCGGAAAGACGGAAAGACCCCAUGAACCUUUACUGUAGCUUUGUAUUGGACUUUGAACAGAUCUGUGUAGGAUAGGUGGGAGGCUUUGAAGUGUGGUCGCUAGAUCGCAUGGAGCCAACGUUGAAAUACCACCCUGGUGUGUUUGAGGUUCUAACCUAGGUCCAUUAUCUGGAUCGGGGACAGUGCAUGGUAGGCAGUUUGACUGGGGCGGUCUCCUCCCAAAGCGUAACGGAGGAGUUCGAAGGUACGCUAGGUACGGUCGGACAUCGUGCUAAUAGUGCAAUGGCAUAAGUGUGCUUAACUGCGAGACUGACAAGUCGAGCAGAUGCGAAAGCAGGACAUAGUGAUCCGGUGGUUCUGUAUGGAAGGGCCAUCGCUCAACGGAUAAAAGGUACUCUGGGGAUAACAGGCUGAUACCGCCCAAGAGUUCAUAUCGACGGCGGUGUUUGGCACCUCGAUGUCGGCUCAUCUCAUCCUGGGGCUGUAGCCGGUCCCAAGGGUAUGGCUGUUCGCCAUUUAAAGAGGUACGUGAGCUGGGUUUAAAACGUCGAGACAGUUUGGUCCCUAUCUUCCGUGGGCGCUGCAGAUUUGAGGAAGCCUGCUCCUAGUACGAGAGGACCGGAGUGGACACACCUCUGGUGUAUCGGUUGUCACGCCAGUGGCAUUGCCGAGUAGCUAUGUGUGGAAGAGAUAACCGCUGAAAGCAUCUAAGCGGGAAACUCGUUUCAAGAUGAGAUCUGCCGGGGCCUUGAGCCCCCUAAAGAGUCGUUCAAGACCAGGACGUUGAUAGGUCAGGUGUGGAAGCGCAGUAAUGCGCUAAGCUAACUGAUACUAAUUGCUCGUGCGGCUUGACCU
rnacentral:rRNA from 1 species